rnacentral:lncRNA from 1 species
UGGGGACGGCCCUGGAAUCUGAUUACAAGUGUUAAAAGUUCACGGGUAGCGGGAUCCCUAUGGAUCCCCAUGGAUACUAGUAGGCUGGUAAAUAAGGAAAAAUAUGUUGUGUCAUGAUUGAGAUGCAAAAGGCGUGAUAAGUAUUAUGUUAUACAGUUCCUAUGAUUUGCUGAUAAUGAUAAUGUUAUUGCUUUCGUAUAUUGUUUUAUGAAUUUCACCGAG